GGGCGUAUGAUGGAAUUGGCAGACAUGACAGCCUUAGAAGCUGUUGUCGCAAGACGUUUGGGUUCGACCCCCAAUAUGCCCA
rnacentral:tRNA from 1 species